UACGUAGGGAGCAAGCGUUGUCCGGAAUCAUGGGGCGUAAAGGGCGCGUAGGCGGCGUGACAAGUCACUUGUGAAAUCUCCGGGCUUAACUCGGAACGGUCAAGUGAUACUGUCGUGCUAGAGUACAGAAGGGGCAACUGGAAUUCUCGGUGUAGCGGUGAAAUGCGUAGAUAUCGAGAGGAACACCUGCGGCGAAGGCGGGUUGCUGGGCUGAUACUGACGCUGAGGCGCGAAAGCCAGGGGAGCGAACGGG
rnacentral:rRNA from 1 species